AAACCCCACGAAAAGGAGCCCCACGUUCGGAUUGCAGCCUGCAACUCGGCUGCAUGAAGCCGGAAUCGCUAGUAAUCGCGGAUCAGAAUGCCGCGGUGAAUACGUUCCCGGGUCUUGUACACACCGCCCGUCACACCAUGGGAGCCGGGGAUGCCCGAAGUCAGUGGCCUAACCGCAAGGGAGGAGCUGCCGAAGGCAGGCCCGGUGACUGGGGUGAAGUCGUAACAAGGUACC
rnacentral:rRNA from 1 species